CAGAGGGGGCAAGCGUUGUUCGGAAUUACUGGGCGUAAAGGGCGCGUAGGCGGCCUGCUAAGUCGAACGUGAAAUCCCUGGGCUCAACCCAGGAACUGCGUCCGAUACUGGUUGGCUUGAAUCCGGGAGAGGGAUGUGGAAUUCCAGGUGUAGCGGUGAAAUGCGUAGAUAUCUGGAGGAACACCGGUGGCGAAGGCGGCAUCCUGGACCGGUAUUGACGCUGAGGCGCGAAAGCCAGGGGAGCAAACGGGAUUAGAUACCCCGGUAGUCCUGGCCCUAAACGAUGAAUGCUUGGUGUGGCGGGUAUCGAUCCCUGCCGUGCCGAAGCUAACGCAUUAAGCAUUCCGCCUGGGGGAGUACGGUCGCAAGGCUG
rnacentral:rRNA from 1 species